AGUGAUGCUGAUAAUGUUCAUGCAGACACACACAUGUGAACAAGACAAUGAUUGUGAAACACUGUAGAGACACAAGAUGUCAGAGAGCCGAUACAAACACAACUUCAGAGCUCUGCCUGAACUGACUCCAUCUUUCAUUUAUUCAUCUCAUCUUCAGCCUCAUGACUUUCUAACUGUGCUUCAUUAUUUCUCUCUGAAGGUUGUUGGAUCAGGUUGAUCUUUGUUCUUGUGGGUGUAGCAGCGCUCUCACUGAUUGUUGUGUCAGUCAACAUUUGGACCAGAACAAAAGGUUCCAAAACACAUGGUGGCAAGAAGCAGCACAGUAAUGAAGACAAUGAUGUGGUGACG